AGAGUUUGAUCAUGGCUCAGAUUGAACGCUGGCGGCAGGCCUAACACAUGCAAGUCGAACGGUAGCACAGAGAGCUUGCUCUCGGGUGACGAGUGGCGGACGGGUGAGUAAUGUCUGGGAAACUGCAUGAUGGAGGGGGAUAACUACUGGAAACGGUAGCUAAUACCGCAUAACGUCGCAAGACCAAAGAGGGGGACCUUCGGGCCUCUUGCCAUCAGAUGUGCCCAGAUGGGAUUAGCUAGUAGGUGGGGUAACGGCUCACCUAGGCGACGAUCCCUAGCUGGUCUGAGAGGAUGACCAGCCACACUGGAACUGAGACACGGUCCAGACUCCUACGGGAGGCAGCAGUGGGGAAUAUUGCACAAUGGGCGCAAGCCUGAUGCAGCCAUGCCGCGUGUAUGAAGAAGGCCUUCGGGUUGUAAAGUACUUUCAGCGGGGAGGAAGGUGUUGAGGUUAAUAACCUCAGCAAUUGACGUUACCCGCAGAAGAAGCACCGGCUAACUCCGUGCCAGCAGCCGCGGUAAUACGGAGGGUGCAAGCGUUAAUCGGAAUUACUGGGCGUAAAGCGCACGCAGGCGGUCUGUCAAGUCGGAUGUGAAAUCCCCGGGCUCAACCUGGGAACUGCAUUCGAAACUGGCAGGCUAGAGUCUUGUAGAGGGGGGUAGAAUUCCAGGUGUAGCGGUGAAAUGCGUAGAGAUCUGGAGGAAUACCGGUGGCGAAGGCGGCCCCCUGGACAAAGACUGACGCUCAGGUGCGAAAGCGU
rnacentral:rRNA from 1 species